rnacentral:snRNA from 1 species
GUGCUCGCUUCGGCAGUACAUUUAAUAAACUUGGAACCAUACAGAGAAGAUUGGGCUUGCCCUUGCCAAAGGAUGACAGGCACAUUGACGAAUCGUUCCAAAACGAU